CGCAGUAUCUUGACUGUGCGAAGGUAGCAUAAUCACUUGUCUCUUAAUUGGGGGCUAGAAUGAACGGUUGGACGAGGGAUUAGCUUUCUUUACUUAAAUUUAAUGAAUUUGAUUUUUGAGUUAAAAAGCUUAAAUUAUUUUGUAAGACGAGAAGACCCUAUAGAAUUUUACUUUUUUUUAAUUUAUUUUUUAUUUUGUUAAUUAUUUAAUUAAUGUAUUUUGAAAAGUUUUGUUGGGGCGAUAGUGAAAAUUGAUUAACUUUCAUUUUUAAUGUUUCAUUAAUUAAUGUAUUUUUUGAUCCUUCUUUUUGAUUAUAAGAUUAAAUU
rnacentral:rRNA from 1 species